rnacentral:rRNA from 1 species
CGCUGGCGGCGUGCCUAAUACAUGCAAGUCGAACGGUCUUUCUAUGGAAGCUUGCUUCCACUGAGAAGAUAGUGGCGAACGGGUGAGUAACACGUGGGUAACCUGCCCAUAAGAGGGGGGAUAACAUCCGGAAACGGGUGCUAAUACCGCAUAGUUUUCUUGGUCGCAUGAUCGGGAAAGGAAAGACGGCCUUUGUGCUGUCGCUUAUGGAUGGACCCGCGGCGUAUUAGUUAGUUGGUGAGGUAACGGCUCACCAAGACGAUGAUACGUAGCCGACCUGAGAGGGUGAUCGGCCACAUUGGGACUGAGACACGGCCCAAACUCCUACGGGAGGCAGCAGUAGGGAAUCUUCCGCAAUGGACGAAAGUCUGACGGAGCAACGCCGCGUGAGUGAAGAAGGUUUUUCCGGAUCGUAAAACUCUGUUGUCAGAGAAGAACAAGUUGGAGAGUAACUGCUCCAGCCUUGACGGUAUCUGACCAGAAAGCCACGGCUAACUACGUGCCAGCAGCCGC